rnacentral:rRNA from 1 species
AUACUCCUGACUGACCGAUAGUGAACCAGUACCGUGAGGGAAAGGCGAAAAGAACCCCGGCGAGGGGAGUGAAAAAGAACCUGAAACCGUGUACGUACAAGCAGUGGGAGCCCCACCACUAAGCCAGUGGUGAACUCCACAUACGCAUCCUUUGCUGAGGAUACGGUUAACGGAGCGCAAGCGACGUUCAACCGCAAAAGAAGCAGAGGGGGCUUAGUGGUGGGGUGACUGCGUACCUUUUGUAUAAUGGGUCAGCGACUUAUAUUCUGUAGCAAGGUUAACCGUAUAGGGGAGCCGGAGGGAAACCGAGUCUUAAUUGGGCGUUAAGUUGCAGGGUAUAGACCCGAAACCCGGUGAUCUAGCCAUGGGCAGGUUGAAGGUUGGGUAACACUAACUGGAGGACCGAACC